UGGGGAAUUUUGGACAAUGGGCGAAAGCCUGAUCCAGCAAUGCCGCGUGUGUGAAGAAGGCCUUCGGGUUGUAAAGCACUUUUGUCCGGAAAGAAAUCCUUGGCUCUAAUACAGUCGGGGGAUGACGGUACCGGAAGAAUAAGCACCGGCUAACUACGUGCCAGCAGCCGCGGUAAUACGUAGGGUGCAAGCGUUAAUCGGAAUUACUGGGCGUAAAGCGUGCGCAGGCGGUUUGCUAAGACCGAUGUGAAAUCCCCGGGCUCAACCUGGGAACUGCAUUGGUGACUGGCAGGCUAGAGUAUGGCAGAGGGGGGUAGAAUUCCACGUGUAGCAGUGAAAUGCGUAGAGAUGUGGAGGAAUACCGAUGGCGAAGGCAGCCCCCUGGGCCAAUACUGACGCUCAUGCACGAAAAGCGUGGGGAGCAAACAGGAUUAGAUACCCUGGUAGUCCACGCCCUAAAACGAUGUCAACUAGUUGUUGGGGAUUCAUUUCCUUAGUAACGUAGCUAACGCGUGAAGUUGACCGCCUGGGGAGUACGGUCGCAAGAUUAAAACUCAAAU
rnacentral:rRNA from 1 species